rnacentral:rRNA from 1 species
CGCCUGUUUAUCAAAAACAUCUUUAGUUAAAAAAACUAAUUUUGCCUGCCCAGUGAAAAUUUAACGGCCGCAGUAUAUUAACUGUGCAAAGGUAGCAUAAUCCUUUGUCUCUUGAUUAGAGACUAGAAUGAACGGCCUGACGAAAGGUUAACUUUCUCCCUUUUUCUUUUAACUUACUAUAAGAGUUAAAAAGCUCUUAAUUAUCAGAAAGACGACAAGACCCUGUAAAACUUUACUUCUUAAGGAUUUUUUGAAAAUUUAAUUUUUUCCAAUCUCGAGUUUAGUUGGGGCGACUCUUUUAAUAUAAACAAAAAUUAAUUUAACAUAUUGAAUGAUUUUUUCAAACGCUUCUACUUCAUAACAAGUUACUUCAGGGAUAACAGCGCUACUUCUCUUUAGAGUUCUCAUCGUCAGAGAAAUGUGCGACCUCGAUGUUGAAUUGAA